rfam:Burkholderia multivorans ATCC 17616 genomic DNA, complete genome, chromosome 2.
CCGCCUUGCGGAGAUGGCAUGCCUCCGUGCGGCGUUUUCCCGCGCAUCGUGCGCGCCGGUCCGCUGCUCAACCGCCGGUUCGUCCGGCUGAUGAUGCCUGCGUGUUC